GUGUCUCUUGGGCGAUGUCCUGUUCAUCUCUGGGCCUUAAGUCCCUAGCCUGAGGCAUUAAAUAACUUAAAAAAUGAAAUACUCUUAAGAAUACCAUUGAGGCCAUGCUAGUUACAGAAAUGCAGAUUACAGCGGAAACAUGAUGCUUGCCAGCUAGAAGGGGAGAAAUUCAAAAUGGUAAACGGAGUAGUCUCCUCACAGGGCUCUAUGAGGGCUUGACAAACAACACGGAGCCAAAAUAAAGUUUUUAAAAGUAUAUUCCAGCAAAAGAGUAUUGACCGUGUGCUUUCAAGAAUUUUCCCAGCCAUCAGGAAGAAAAACGUUAAGGGCUGGAACUUUAGGAGGACGAAGGCAACCAGGGAAUCCAUUCUACACACUGAAAACUGCGCGUAGCUGGGCGAACACUGGGCCCCCCAGAAAGAAAAGAGAAGAAAAAAAACAAUCGGUGUUAUGUGAAAAUGAAGGCAAAGCCGCUCUAAGAACUGCUUUGGUCUGGCCAGACAACAGAUGUUUUAAAGGAUCAAAGUUACUUUGCAGCAGAGCUGCCGGGAGAGUGAAGAUGAAAUGUUUCAGUCUUGAGAACUAGCAGGUUCCUUGCUUUUUUCAUUUCUCAGCACUGCAAAUAUGUAAGGCCGAGGCCAUCCAAAGUCAAGAGCAGAUCCAACCAUGCAGGUUAAUCUCGAUGCUUCUGGGCUACGGGGGACUUGCUCCUUCUGGCCUUCGGGUUAUGGUGGAAGAGGCCAAGGUGCAGACUGAGUGAACGGCUGCCCCAGGCUCACAUGUGUGGCAGCCGAACCCAGGCCAGAGGUCAAGCCUUCCGGCUGCGUGGCCUGGGCUCCCGUCCCUACGUACCCUGCUCCGUGGCUACACAAGACGGAACACCAGGCCUCUGGCCCGCCUCAGCCGGAGACAAGGGAGAAAUAAAGAAAAGGGAACAACAAAUGCAAUUGCCCAGCCCCUGAGUGGUCAGACUUUCCUUUGCUAUUUAUUGUCAGAACUUCGAGCCCUGCUUGAAAGCCGGCCCUGCCUCAUCCCGACUUCUGCUUCAUCUCCCAGUGAAGUCAUAAAGAUGGGCUUACGCUCUGUCUAUUGACACAGAGAGCCUGUGAGUCACAAAUUCAACAGGAUGACUUUGCUGCAGUGUGAUUGACUGGAAAAUGUGCCCUCAUCUGAACGUUUUUUUUUU